rnacentral:rRNA from 1 species
UUGGUCAUUUAGAGGAAGUAAAAGUCGUAACAAGGUUUCCGUAGGUGAACCUGCGGAAGGAUCAUUACAGAAAGUAAACGCGGAUCAAACCGCGAACUUCUAAACCUUUGACGAUUGACUCAUGUUGCCUCGGCGGGUUCUUCCGCCAGAGGAUACAUCAAAACUCCUGUUUUAACGGUGUUGUCUGAGCUGCAAGCAACGAAUCAAAACUUUCAACAACGGAUCUCUUGGUUCUGGCAUCGAUGAAGAACGCAGCGAAAUGCGAUAAGUAGUGUGAAUUGCAGAAUUCAGUGAAUCAUCGAAUCUUUGAACGCACAUUGCGCCCCUUGGUAUCCCGAGGGGCAUGCCUGUUCGAGCGUCAUUUAACCACUCAAGCCCGGCUUGGUGUUGGGCGACGUCUCCUUUAGGGACGCGUCUCGAAACGCUCGGCGGCGUGGCACCGGCUUUAAGCGUAGCAGAAUCUUUCGCUUUGAAAGUCGGGGCCUCGUCUGCCGGAAGACCUACUCGCAAGGUUGACCUCGGAUCAGGCAGGGAUACCCGCUGAACUUAAGCAUAUCAAUAAGCGGAGGA